AAUGAAGUGCCUGAAAAAAGGUUUAUUUUGAUAGAAUAAGGCAUGUAUUAUAAUUACCUUCAUUA
rnacentral:tRNA from 1 species